GAUGAACGCUAGCGACAGGCCUAACACAUGCAAGUCGAGGGGCAGCACAAGGUAGCAAUACUGAGGUGGCGACCGGCGCACGGGUGAGUAACGCGUAUGCAACCUGCCUGUAACAGGGGAAUAGCCUCUUGAAAGAGAGAUUAAUGCCGCAUAAUACGAGAUUCGGGCAUCCGGAUUUAGUUAAACAUUUAUGGGUUACAGAUGGGCAUGCGUUUCAUUAGGUAGUUGGUGAGGUAACGGCUCACCAAGCCGACGAUGAAUAGGGGUUCUGAGAGGAAGGUCCCCCACACUGGUACUGAGACACGGACCAGACUCCUACGGGAGGCAGCAGUGAGGAAUAUUGGUCAAUGGACGCAAGUCUGAACCAGCCAAGUCGCGUGAAGGAUGAAGGUAUUAUGUAUUGUAAACUUCUUUUGUCAGGGAAUAAUGGGUGUCACGUGUGACGCAGAGGAAUGUACCUGACGAAUAAGCAUCGGCUAACUCCGUGCCAGCAGCCGCGGUAAUACGGAGGAUGCGAGCGUUAUCCGGAUUUAUUGGGUUUAAAGGGUGCGUAGGCGGUUUGUUAAGUCAGUGGUGAAAGUUUGCGGCUCAACCGUAAAAUUGCCAUUGAAACUGGCGAACUUGAGUACAGUAGAGGUAGGCGGAAUUCGUGGUGUAGCGGUGAAAUGCUUANAUAUCACGAA
rnacentral:rRNA from 1 species